rnacentral:lncRNA from 1 species
GAGGAAGUAACACUGAUGCUUCAGGCUGAUAGAGACGCUCAGCGACGUGUUUCUGACUAAGGCUCAAACCCACUUCAGAGCCAGAACGAGCAGCAACAGCUGUUCCUAUCGAACGCGUGUGUGGGUCCGAUCACAAUGUGACGCGUCUUAGUUUGGUUUGAGUCUUUACUGAAGCCUGUUCCAUCACAUCCGCUCACAAUGAACCUCACCUCGACCUCUGACCACAUGAGGGAGGAGUCUGUGAACCGACAGGAUGUGUCUUCAUCUGAGUGAUGGAGGCGACCAUGAGGAAGUGAGACCUGACUAAGCAUAAACCACAUCAGUGCUGAAGAGGCUCCAGUUUCCAGCAGCAGAGACGGAGGCACCAUGGUUGGACACACAUGGAUCCACAGCUUGUUAAUAGUGACAGGGCUUCAGUUCACAGGUAAGAACACGGACCAACGACACACACGUCACAGAAGCCACGCAGCAAAAGCUUCAGAAGAAGACGAUCAGUGAGAUGAUGUGUGGUUCUGCUCUCAUUGUUGCUUCACUCAAACAUUUUCUCAGGAGCUGCUUUGAUCAGACGUGGAGACGACGUCUCGUUCCCUUGUAACAAUCUGAUCCCUGAUCAGAGUCAGUGUAACACCACCACCUGGCUCUACAGUGUCUCAGGACCAGCACUAGUGGAGCUGGUUACACUUGGGAAGAUUAGAGAAAACGAUGCAUCUAAAUCCAACAGACUGAGUUUAACAGAGAACUGUUCUCUGGUCAUAAAGCAGAUCACAGAUCAGGAUGCUGGUCGUUACACCUGCAGACAGUAUAAUAAAUCAGGACGACAACAAGGUGUAGAUGCUGCUGUUGACUUGUCUGUUGUUACCUGUGAGUAUUUGCAUCAUCAUGUUUUCAUCUCAGUCUGUGACUGAAGCAUUAAAUAUGAAGCUGAAGCUAAUGUUGAUCUUGUUUCACCAGUGACUCAACAUGAACACGAUGAUGAGGUGACGUUAAACUGUCACGUGUGGACGAAUAGUCAGUGCAGACACACAGUAAAGUGGCUGUUUGAGGAUAAAGACCUGGAAAAGACUUCAAUAAAGUCAUCAGAGUCUCUCUGUGACGCUGCUGUUACUUUUAGUAGAAGUUCCUUCUAUUCAUCGCGCUCCAUUACUUCAUUUACGUGUGAAGUGAGAGAUGGUCACAAUCAUCAAAGCUCCACCUUCAACCUUCAGCCUCAAGGUGACGACAAACCACCAGCAACAGGUGGAGGUCUGUGGAGGAACGUCGUGGUCUCGGUGGCUGUAACGUCUCUGGUGGUGGUGGUGGUCACAGUCCACGUGUGGACCAGAGCUGAAGGUGAAACGUUUUCCUGCCGACAGAAGCUUCAGCGUUUGUGCGUUGGCUGUUUGUGCUGAAGUCGACUCUUUUGUCUUCGUAGGGAACAAAGGGACGGAUCAAGCAGUGAGUAUGAAGCUGCUCUUUGUUCAGAUGAGCUGCUGCCCGUGGGGUUGUGGGUCCGAGUCCCUGCGGCGCUGAGCAAGGCAGCGAGCUCCAGCUGUUCCUCUGCAGCUGCUUCGUGUCCGUCACUGUUCUGUUUGAGCUCAGUGUCGAUGCUUCCACAGGUUCACGGUGAUGAAGACGAUGGUGAAGGUGCAGCGACGUAUGAAAACGCCAGAGACUCGUCUGCUUCAGUCUGAGCAACGACGGCAUCAACUCACCACGCGCAUUCAUCCUGCUGCGUCUGAGUCUCUGUUCUGUUGUUAAACCAUGAAUAAAGCAUCAGACGUUUAUCA